rnacentral:misc_RNA from 1 species
GAUGAAGAACGCAGCGAGAUGCGAUAAGUAAUGUGAAUUGCAGAAUUCAGUGAAUCAUCGAGUCUUUGAACGCACAUUGCGCCCCCUGGUAUUCCGGGGGGCAUGCCUGUCCGAGCGUCAUUGCUGCCCUCAAGCACGGCUUGUGUGUUGGGCCUCCGUCCUCCUCCCGGGGGACGGGCCCGAAAGGCAGCGGCGGCACCGCGUCCGGUCCUCGAGCGUAUGGGGCUUCGUCACCCGCUCUUGUAGGCCCGGCCGGCGCUUGCCGACACAUCAAUCUUUUUUCCAGGUUGACCUCGGAUCAGGUAGGGAUACCCGCUGAACUUAAGCAUAUCAAUAAGCGGAGGA